UUAGCGUUUGAGUUCUGACAA
rnacentral:miRNA from 1 species